rnacentral:tRNA from 1 species
GGCGAGGUAGCUCAGUGGUAGAGCAGUAGGAUCAUAAUCUAUUGGUCGGGGGUUCGAUCCCCCCCUUCGCUA